rnacentral:rRNA from 1 species
GACGAACGCUGGCGGCGUGCCUAAUACAUGCAAGUAGAACGCUGAAGAGAAGAGCUUGCUCUUCUUGGAUGAGUUGCGAACGGGUGAGUAACGCGUAGGUAACCUGCCUGGUAGCGGGGGAUAACUAUUGGAAACGAUAGCUAAUACCGCAUAAAAUUGAUUAUUGCAUGAUAAUUAAUUGAAAGAUGCAAUUGCAUCACUACCAGAUGGACCUGCGUUGUAUUAGCUAGUUGGUGAGGUAACGGCUCACCAAGGCGACGAUACAUAGCCGACCUGAGAGGGUGAUCGGCCACACUGGGACUGAGACACGGCCCAGACUCCUACGGGAGGCAGCAGUAGGGAAUCUUCGGCAAUGGGGGGAACCCUGACCGAGCAACGCCGCGUGAGUGAAGAAGGUUUUCGGAUCGUAAAGCUCUGUUUGUAAGAGAAGAAACGGGGUGUGAGAAG